AAGUCGUAACAAGGUCUCCGUAGGUGAACCUGCGGAGGGAUCAUUACACAAUAUGAAGGCAGGCUGAAAUCUCUCGGGAGGACAGCCUUGCUGAAUUAUUCACCCGUGUCUUUUGCGUACUCUUUGUUUCCUUGGUGGGCUCGCCCACCACAAGGACAAACCUUAAACCUUUUGUAAUUGCAAUCAGCGUCAGUACCAAUAUAAUAAUUACAACUUUCAACAACGGAUCUCUUGGUUCUG
rnacentral:misc_RNA from 1 species